CCUACGGGUGGCAGCAGUGGGGAAUAUUGCGCAAUGGGCGAAAGCCUGACGCAGCGACGCCGCGUGAGGGAUGAAGGUCUUCGGAUCGUAAAGCUCUGUCAGCAGGGAAGAACGGUCACGGUGCUAAUCAGCAGUGAAUUGACGGUACCUGCAAAGGAAGCACCGGCUAACUCCGUGCCAGCAGCCGCGGUAAUACGGAGGGUGCGAGCGUUAAUCGGAAUUACUGGGCGUAAAGCGCUCGUAGGCGGUAUGACAAGUCAAGUGUGAAAGCCCCGCGCUCAACCUGGGAAUUGCCUUUGAAACUGGCGAACUUGAGUGUGUGAGAGGAGAGUGGAACUCCAGGUGUAGGAGUGAAAUCCGUAGAUAUCUGGAGGAACAUCAGUGGCGAAGGCGACUAUCUGGCACACAACUGACGCUGAGGAGCGAAAGCGUGGGUAGCAAACAGGAUUAGAUACCCGUGUAGUC
rnacentral:rRNA from 1 species